UCCUCUUUACCCUGCUUUGGACACUCUAAUCUGAUCUCAGAAGCUAAGCAAGGUUGGGCCUGGUGAGUAUUUGGAUGGGAGACCACCUGGGAAUACCACAUACUAUAGGAU
rnacentral:rRNA from 1 species